rnacentral:rRNA from 1 species
GACGAACGCUGGCGGCGUGCUUAACACAUGCAAGUCGAACGGAAAGGCCCUGCUUUUGUGGGGUGCUCGAGUGGCGAACGGGUGAGUAACACGUGAGUAACCUGCCCUUGACUUUGGGAUCACUACAGGAAACUGGGGCUAAUACCGGAUAGGCGCUCCUGCUGCAUGGUGGGGGUUGGAAAGUUUCGGCGGUUGGGGAUGGACUCGCGGCUUAUCAGCUUGUUGGUGGGGGAGUGGCUUACCAAGGCUUUGACGGUUAGCCGGCCUGAGAGGGUGACCGGCCACAUUGGGACUGGGAUACGGCCCAGACUCCUACGGGGGGCAGCAGUGGGGAAUAUUGCACAAUGGGCGGAAGCCUGAUGCAGCAACGCCGCGUGCGGGAUGACGGCCUUCGGGUUUUAAACCGCUUUCGCCUGUGACGAAGCGUGAGUGACGGUAAUGGGUAAAGAAGCACCGGCUAACUACGUG